rnacentral:rRNA from 1 species
GACGAACGCUGGCGGCGUGCUUAACACAUGCAAGUCGAACGGAAAGGCCCUGCUUUUGUGGGGUGCUCGAGUGGCGAACGGGUGAGUAACACGGGAGUAACCUGCCCUUGACUUUGGGAUAACUUCAGGAAACUGGGGCUAAUACCGGAUAGGAGCUCCUGCUGCAUGGUGGGGGUUGGAAAGUUUCGGCGGUUGGGGAUGGACUCGCGGCUUAUCAGCUUGUUGGUGGGGUAGUGGCUUACCAAGGCUUUGACGGGUAGCCGGCCUGAGAGGGUGACCGGCCACAUUGGGACUGAGAUACGGCCCAGACUCCUACGGGAGGCAGCAGUGGGGAAUAUUGCACAAUGGGCGGAAGCCUGAUGCAGCAACGCCGCGUGCGGGAUGACGGCCUUCGGGUUGUAAACCGCUUUCGCCUGUGACGAAGCGUGAGUGACGGUAAUGGGUAAAGAAGCACCGGCUAACCACGUG